UGGAAGAAGAGAAAAGCGAGUUUCAGGCUGUGAUUGUCCAAACGCAAUUCUUGUGGUUAGUCUAGUCAAGGACUGUGUGUGGACAUCAAUGCUUGGAACGUAACACCAGCUCCAACCAAC
rnacentral:pre_miRNA from 12 species